AUGUCCCAGUUUAUGGCUAGAAGUUUACCACCAUUUUUUUUGCUUUUUCUCUUUGCUUUUUUGAUGAUUUGUUUUUCAAUUUUCAAUUUAUUUGCAUCCCUUUCUUUUUUUGUUAUUCUUUUUCCAUUUCUUUUUUUAUUUUUAUUUUUUCAUUGUUUUACAAAAUUUGUGAUUUAUCUUGUUUUUAUUUUUUAUUUUUAUUUUAAAUACCUCUAUUUUCAUUUUUCUAGAUUUGCUAAUUCCCAUCUAGAUUGUCUUUUCUUUUUCUAUUUCUUUUCAUAUUUUUAUAUUUAUUUAAAAUAG
rnacentral:rRNA from 1 species